rnacentral:lncRNA from 1 species
GGACUAUUUGACAGUUGCCAUGAGAUUUCAGAUUCGAUAAAAUUUUAGUUAUUUUAGGAAUUCUUCGCUCUUACCAGGUAAUUCUUAUUCGUUAUUUUUAAAACAUAACCAUUAUAACAGAAAACACAUUUCAAAGUCAUAUUUUGAAAUUGAGUGUUAUAUUAGUAUACAACUUUUCAUCUAAACUCAGAAAGUGUCAGUGAUGAAAAUAUACAGUACUCAUUCAAAUCCGUUUACGUUUCUUGUUUCAUAAAUUAGUAAUCUGAAUUUACAUGAAAUUAAAAUAGGUUAUUUCGAGAUAUAUCAUUUAUUUUAUUUUCUCUCGACACAAGUUAUUUCCCUCCACGGGACGUCGGGAAAUAGUCAGUGUCUCGAGUAAAAUAAAAUAGAUAUAUUCAUCAUGUACCAUUUCAUUAGUGCCAAUCAAAUAGUAAGUUUCAUUUGAUUUCAUCAUGACAUUGGUAUUAAGAGUUACAGUAAAGAAAUAUGCAGUACCAUAUAUAUACGCAUACAAAUUAUGCUAUUUUUUUUUUUAUAUUUUUACGAAGUUACUUGUUUAGCACAACCGACCAUAGUAUAAAAAUAUAUAAGUCGCUAUCUGUACAUCAACUGCAUACUAAAAUAACUACAGAUUUUUAUGAUGCGGACAAGAACAGAGAUAUAGAGAGUCACAAAUCAUUAUUAUAUAUACUUUUUAACUCAUGCAUUUAUGUUAAUUUUAUUGUUUUAUUUUUCUUUAAAUAAUUUGUGUGCAUUAAAAUGAACGUGCAAUUACAUUUUUGUAAAUGUGAGUUGCCAUGAAAUUCGAAAUCGAAAAAGAUAUAUUAAUUUAGAAACUCUUUUAGAUUUUUUUACCAGCCAAGCUAAUUUUGAAGUCCAUACGACAUAGGCAAGACACAAGACACAAGACACAAGACACAAGACAAGACAAGACACAAGACACAAGACAAGACAAGACACAAGACACAAGACACAAGACAAGACAUGACAAUUUUAUUCUUUAAAAUUUCUGAAAGUCAAAUGUGACAAAUGUAUGAGAAGAUAGUAAAAUUCUGGAAUUACAAUAACCACACAAAUUUAAGAUUUGUAAUACACUUGAAACAACGUAUUACUUACAAUUCUGUCUCUGAUUCUUUAUAAUUUCCUAUUUGUUUGUUACAGAUAUGUUUAAACUAGAAAGAAACUCCACAUAAAGACGAUGACCGAAACAGAUGCUCGGGAUUGCGUUUGCGAAGGAAAAAAUAAAUUAGGAGGCAUAACCAGAACGUUCAACGUCAGUUUCCCGAC